GGAGAGAGGCCACAGGAGAUACAAGGAUGGUCUUUCUGGAAUGAACUUAGAAGCAGAAGGGGCAGAAACUGGACCCCUGAAAACAAUGGCUAGGAACACCCAAUGGGAACCCGCAGCUCACCCCUGCGUAGAAUGUCUGCUGCUGACUUCUAAACACACCAGUUCCAGGAAUGGGAGACGUGAAUUUGGAGGAUCCAACCCCAGAGCAAGGAGAUAGAGUCAUCAUAGAUCACAGAGGUCAAACCCAUCAGGACUUGGGGCUUCAGUGGAAAAAGUAGGUAAGGCUAAUGAAACACCAGAGAAGUGUCAUUGGGAGAAAUGGCAUCUGACUUCAGAACUACGAUCAGUGCAGCGUCCAAUUGUGACUUCAAUGAAGAAACACGCCUCUCUUCCACUUGGAAGAGAAGUGGUGGGCCAGAAAUGAGGAAUGAAGCCUGACACUGACAACGUGCUGAUUUGUUCUGCUUCAGAGUGGACCCUGAUUUGUUGCAAGGGAGGGUUCUA